rfam:Nicotiana attenuata strain TT chromosome 7, whole genome shotgun sequence.
UGGACAGAUUAUUGUAUUCAACUGUAUUCACGGCAUGAAACAUGGGAUUUCACUGUUUGUAAACGAAAAGUGAAUCAAUUAACAUAAUAGACUCCC